rnacentral:rRNA from 1 species
UACGUAGGCAGCAAGCGUUGUUCGGAGUUACUGGGCGUAAAGGGUGUGUAGGCGGUUAUUUAAGUUUGGUGUGAAAUCUCCCGGCUCAACCGGGAGGGUGCGCCGAAUACUGAAUGACUUGGAGUGCGGGAGAGGAAAGUGGAAUUCCUGGUGUAGCGGUGAAAUGCGUAGAUAUCAGUCGGAACACCGGUGGCGAAGGCGGCUUCUUGGGCCGUUUCUGACGCUGAGGCGCGAAAGCCAGGGGAGCGAACGGG